UUUGUUGUUUCUUUUAUUUAAUUUUCUUUUCUACAGAUAACUGGUUUACCAUCCAUGAAACUGUAAGAAGAAACAUUGUUUGAUCUAAGGUUGUUUCAACCAAACUAGCUGCUGGCUUUAAUAUGUACAGUAUCUAGGUGUAACAUGUUAUAGCUUCAACCCUCACCUUUUCAGUUAUGAUCAUUUGUCCAUGUUCUGCUAUUGAUUACCCUCUGGAUUAAUUCUGGAACAAUUUUAAUACCUCCUGACAUAAACUAACUGAACUGAAUUCAGUGAGUUGCACACAUAUCAAUCUGGAUUUUUUUAGAGUAAGACCUGAUGCUCUACACACUAAAUUUACAUUGCAAAAUCUCAUCUAGACAAACAGCAGCGCAAUGCAAUGUGGGUAAACACAAAGUAUGGCCAAGAAAACAGUUCAACUUAAAGGUACAUCCCUUCUUUCCACAAAUACGACUAUAUAAGUUAGUAUUUUUAUUUUAGUUUUUUUAACAUUUUGUUCAAAGAUCGGAUCAAAAGUCCAGAGUUCUGACACUUCGUGCACCUGGUCUCAUUUUUUAAGGGAAUAGAACUUAGAAUAUAUAAAGAUUCAGUAGCACCUGACAUUCACAUUCCACAAUAUGCAUAAAAGGGUAAAAAACAAACAAACCAA